rnacentral:rRNA from 1 species
AGAGUUUGAUCCUGGCUCAGGAUGAACGCUGGCGGUAUGCCUAACACAUGCAAGUCGAACGGAAAUCUUCGGAUUUUAGUGGCGGACGGGUGAGUAACACGUGAGAAUCUGGCUUCAGGAUGGGGAUAACAACUGGAAACGGUUGCUAAAACCCAAUGUGCCGAGAGGUGAAAGUAUUUAUAGCCUGAAGAUGAGCUCGCGUCUGAUUAGCUAGAUGGUGGGGUAAAAGCCUACCAUGGCGACGAUCAGUAGCUGUUCUGAGAGGAAGAUCAGCCACACUGGGACUGAGACACGGCCCAGACUCCUACGGGAGGCAGC